GCCCCUGAUGCAGCUCAAGGUCUGCAAUACUCUAUAAUUAAUGCCAAAAUACCAGAGUAUUGCAGACCUUGAGCUGCAUCAGGGGC